rnacentral:rRNA from 1 species
UACGUAGGGGCGUAGCGUUGUCCGGAAUCAUUGGGCGUAAAGAGCGUGUAGGCGGUCCGGUAAGUCCGCUGUGAAAGUCGGGGGCUCAACCCUCGAAUGCCGGUGGAUACUGUCGGGCUAGAGUGCGGAAGAGGCGAGUGGAAUUCCUGGUGUAGCGGUGAAAUGCGCAGAUAUCAGGAGGAACACCUAUUGCGAAGGCAGCUCGCUGGGACGUUACUGACGCUGAGACGCGAAAGCGUGGGGAGCAAACAGG